AAUGCUACACUGUGACCAUCGGUUCCAAAGACAGUGAGAUACUCUUUAUAGCCAUUUAAAAAAGAACACUGGGCCAGGUGCAGCUGUGCCCUCACUCAGUGGCUGGGACAGGGGGAUCUGUUCAGUUUGGAGUUCUGGUCAAAAGAAAAAACUGUAGAUUGUGUGACAGAUGGCUGUAAUCCCAGUCCUUGGCACAGGAAGUUAAGGUGACCAGGAGCAAUGAGCAGCCUUGAGCACACACCAAGCUCCAGGUCAGAUAGGGUAUGCACACCGAGAGACCUCUUCUCAAACACCAAAGCCAGGUGUUGGAGAUGCAGCUCAUCAGGGCACUGGUGGCAAGCCUGGCAUCUAAGACUCAUCCCUGGACCUCCAUAAUCCAGAGAAAAGAGAAGCUGCUUCUCUGACCACACUUGUGCCAUAGCAUCCGCAUGCCCCACACAUGUUAAUGAAAUACUUAUUGUGAGGCAGGGCCUCACUGUGCAGUCCUGGAUGACCUCGAACUCUCUCUGUGGACCGGAUUGACCUCAAACUCUGAGACUAACUGCCCCUGCCUCCUGAGUGUUGGGAUUAAAGGCUUGGCUACCGU
rnacentral:lncRNA from 1 species